GGGUGAGUCGGAUCCCGACUCGGUCCGGUCCGAUCUCGUUGACGAUCGCCUCGACGAUUUCUAGAGCGAAUCGGCAGCGGUUUUGUAAAGAUCCGUCGUAUUGGUCAGUCCGGUCGUUUACUUGGUCUUUCAUGAAUUGCUCGAUCAGGUAACCAUGAGCGCCGUGGAUUUCAAUUCCAUCAAAACCUAUGUGUUAUAUAAAAAAGGAAGUUAUGAGUUCGGAUUUUGAUAGGGUUUAACCAUUUUUUAACAAUGUUUCACCAUUUUUACUAUGUUUCAAUACUUUUUUCACCAAGUUAUGCAACAUUGUAGUUUAAUAGAUUAAACAGGUUAUGGGUAAGAUGUUGCAUAUUUUGUUUCCAGAAUGAAACGUGGUUGCACAGUGCACAUUUUGUCUCUAAAACCUACUUUGUUGUGUAAAUUGGAACAAAGUGAAAGUGAUUGCAUAAAUAAGCAUUUAACCCUUAUUUAUAAUAAUUUAAUCUCAAUGAAAGCUACAACGUACUCCCUUAAUCAAUUGUACUUUAUUAAGGCCCUUGAAAAAUCUAUCAAAUUAUAGCAGUGAAAAUUGUUUCGGAUUUGGAUACGAUUGGUAUAACCAUAUAAGUAAGCAACUUUUUUAAGUAAAAUACUAUAGUAGGAAGAAAUGACAGAUUGAUAUUAUAAUAAACAAAUCAAUAAUAGUACAUUGCUAGUCCGUGUGCACGUAACCCUUAUUUUUCUAUUACAACAUCCUACUUUAAUUUUUUUUGGGUCACAAGUCACAACAUUGUACCUUCAAAAAUUUCUUAUUAAGCUAUUGUACUUUCAAAAAUCUUCACAAUUAUAGCAUUGUCUUUUUUUUUUUCGAUAUUAUACUAUGAAACAUCUAUCAAAUUACCACAAUCAAAUUUGCUUUGUACUUAUUUUUAAUAUAUAAAUAAAGGUAAUCAAUCAUCUUACCAGCUUCAAUUGCAUUUCUUGCAGCAAGUCUGAAAUCAUUAACAACAAGCGGAAUCUCCUCUGUAGUUAGCUUCCUUGGAGGUGUACAUUGUGCAGCUUCAAUGCCAUUGCUUCGCAGUUGAGGAAAUAGUUGUUUGUCUGUGGAAGAUAUUGGGGCUUGUCCAUUUGGCUGAAAACCUGUUCAAUAGAUCAAGAAUUUAAAAUGGAAUUAAAAGACGACAAUAAUAACCAUUGCAAUUAUAUUAAAGGAC
rnacentral:lncRNA from 1 species